CCUCGCCCGAACGACCGGAUAACAGUGGGAAACCGCUGCUAAUACCGGAUACCCCCAUUGGAUCACAUGGUUCGAUGAGGAAAUGGAUUCCGCUUCGGGAGGGGCUCGCGGCCUAUCAGCUUGUUGGUGGGGUAACGGCCUACCAAGGCUUCGACGGGUAGCUGGUCUGAGAGGACGAUCAGCCACACUGGGACUGAGACACGGCCCAG
rnacentral:rRNA from 1 species